AACACGUAGGAGGCGAGCGUUGUCCGGAAUCAUUGGGCGUAAAGAGCGCGCAGGCGGCCCGGCAAGUCGGGUGUGAAAUCUCGGGGCUCAACCCCGGAACUGCAUCCGAUACUGCCGGGCUAGAGGUAGGUAGGGGAGAUCGGAAUUCCUGGUGUAGCGGUGAAAUGCGCAGAUAUCAGGAGGAACACCGGUGGCGAAGGCGGAUCUCUGGGCCUUACCUGACGCUCAGGCGCGAAAGCUAGGGGAGCGAACAGGA
rnacentral:rRNA from 1 species